rnacentral:miRNA from 1 species
GCCCCGCCUUCUAAAUACACAUACGCACUUACUGACAGACACAUAUACACUCAGUGUCAGUGAGUGCGUAUGUGUAUUUAGAAGGCAGGGC